AAGAUGGUUCUGCUAUCACUCUUGGAUGGACCUGCGGUGCAUUAGCUAGUUGGUAAGGUAACGGCUUACCAAGGCAAUGAUGCAUAGUCGAGUUGAGAGACUGAUCGGCCACAUUGGGACUGAGACACGGCCCAAACUCCUACGGGAGGCAGCAGUAGGGAAUCUUCCACAAUGGACGAAAGUCUGAUGGAGCAACGCCGCGUGAGUGAAGAAGGGUUUCGGCUCGUAAAGCUCUGUUGGUAGUGAAGAAAGAUAGAGGUAGUAACUGGCCUUUAUUGACGGUAAUUACUUAGAAAGUCACGGCUAACUACGUGCCAGCAGCCGCGGUAAUACGUAGGUGGCAAGCGUUGUCCGGAUUUAUUGGGCGUAAAGCGAGUGCAGGCGGUUCAAUAAGUCUGAUGUGAAAGCCUUCGGCUCAACCGGAGAAUUGCAUCAGAAACUGUUGAACUUGAGUGCAGAAGAGGAGAGUGGAACUCCAUGUGUAGCGGUGGAAUGCGUAGAUAUAUGGAAGAACACCAGUGGCGAAGGCGGCUCUCUGGUCUGCAACUGACGCUGAGGCUCGAAAGCAUGGGUAGCGAACAGGAUUAGAUACCCUGGUAGUCCAUGCCGUAAACGAUG
rnacentral:rRNA from 1 species